rnacentral:misc_RNA from 1 species
AAAGUCGUAACAAGGUUUCCGUAGGUGAACCUGCGGAAGGAUCAUUAACGAGUUUUGAAAUGGGUUGUUGCUGGCCUUCCGGGGCAUGUGCACACUCAUCACUCAUCCACUCACACCUGUGCACCUUUGUAGUGUUUUUCUGUUUUCCUUGCAACGGCGCUUUCAUUCAUUUGGGAGCAAUGUAGUGAGAGGCAGGAAGGCCUACUAUUUUUAUACACACUUAAAAGUUAAGAAUGUAACACUGCUAUAAACGCAUUUAAAUACAACUUUCAACAACGGAUCUCUUGGCUCUC